GUGGGGAAUUUUGGACAAUGGGCGCAAGCCUGAUCCAGCAAUGCCGCGUGCAGGAAGAAGGCCUUCGGGUUGUAAACUGCUUUUGUACGGAACGAAACGGUCCGGGUUAAUACCCUGGGCUAAUGACGGUACCGUAAGAAUAAGCACCGGCUAACUACGUGCCAGCAGCCGCGGUAAUACGUAGGGUGCAAGCGUUAAUCGGAAUUACUGGGCGUAAAGCGUGCGCAGGCGGUUUUGUAAGACAGGCGUGAAAUCCCCGGGCUCAACCUGGGAAUUGCGCUUGUGACGGCAAGGCUGGAGUGCGGCAGAGGGGGAUGGAAUUCCGCGUGUAGCAGUGAAAUGCGUAGAUAUGCGGAGGAACACCGAUGGCGAAGGCAAUCCCCUGGGCCUGCACUGACGCUCAUGCACGAAAGCGUGGGGAGCAAACAGGAUUAGAAACCCGAGUAGUCC
rnacentral:rRNA from 1 species